AGGGUUUUCCGUUUUUCAACGGAAAACCCUUCUGUUAUUCUACUGUUUCUUAUUAGGGUUUUCCGUUUUUCAACGGAAAACCCUUCUGUUAUUCUACUGUUUCUUAUUAUUAUUUUUUUUUUUUAUCCGCAAAUUUUGUGUAGGCCAUUUCUCGUACAUUUGUUGUCUGAUUGUUAUGAAACUUUCAGGGUAUGUAGACAAUGUUAAUAUCUGGGGACGUUUUUUUCAAAUUUUUAAAAUUCACUUCAGGUUAUGAGUUAUUGCCCUUUAAUUGAAAAUUGGGGGGUCUUUUGUCCAGAGUUGAUCUCGGGAACUACAAAAGAUAGUUGCAUGAAAUUUAGCAGGAUUGUUGGUAACAUUUUAUAGUUUUGCUGGCAUGAAAAUUGUGGCAAAAUGUUUUUUAGUUUUUAAGCUAUUUGCCGGUAAAGUUUAAGGUUUUGGGGGGUCUGAAAUUUUGUUGCUUUUUGUAUAAUAACCUUUAAACUAAAAAUAAUUUGUUAAUACAUAUAGAACAAAAGUUGUUUAGAAUAAUGAGAGCUUUCAUUUAAAAUUAAGAAAAAAGGGCUGGCCCCUGUAAUUAGGGGUCAGCAGCUCAUACACGUAUUUUUCUAAUAGCAAAAAUCGUUAUCAUUUUAUGAAAAAAAAAUAUUCAGUUAUUGUUAAUAUAUUAAAUGAUGUCAUUUGGUAUCAAAUUUAAAAAGUUCUGUGCCCUAUUUUUUUCAAAUUUCAUAAAACAAAUAUGUGUGAAUCGUAACGUUACAUGAACGAGUUAAUUUGUCUACAUAGACACACAAGCGAACAAAUGCCACUUUAAGGCCCAGGCAUUUACUGCAUUACGUUGUGUUGCAUCUUAGAUAAAUAGUUGUGAUUCAAUUUCAUUUUUUUCAUCUAUAUCAUUUAUGAAUUCAAUGAACACACAUUAUUUUAACGUUCUAUGUGCAACUAUUUGUCGGGGCGCCCCUGUUUGUAACCCCCGCGCGCGCGCCGAAUGUAAACAGUAACGAACGGCAUUGUAGAAAAGAGAGAGCCGUAAUGCAGAAGAGAAGUUGUGUAUUCUUUCGAUGUACAAAUGCAUUUUCAAUUUACUGUGAAACAUAUGAACAUGCACAGGGAACAAUACUACAUAUUUGUUUAAGGAGGAUAUUUUUCUCGUGUGAAUCGUUUACGAGGAAAUUCUGACAGCCACACUUCUGUCGACGAUCAGCCGUUGAUAAGCUACGAGUAAUAAAGGAGAAAAGAUGGACAUUAAAGUAUGUGAUUUAUGUGGAUGUUACUGAAGAAGCUCAAAACAGACUCUUGUUACCACAUGGCUUUUACCGGUACCUGUUGAUUCUUGUGGGUCAGCUCCUGAGAUUAACCUGUCACCUCUAUCCACAUGCAUAUUCCUUGUGUUCUACAGACUAUUUACCGGUAAUUCAAAUUAAAUCCGAUAAUGCAUGAACAAUAAUGGAACUUGAAGAAAGCAUCAUGCCAUGUUGUGGUUUGUGUUUGAUAAGAAAUUAUGAAAACAAAAUUAAGGCUGUUUAUAAAGAAAUUCAUAAUUGCUGUGAAAAUUUGUUUUUCAAUAAAAGUAUGCAAUUAU